UACAGAGGUCCCAAGCGUUGUUCGGAUUCAUUGGGCGUAAAGGGUGCGUAGGCGGCGCGGGAAGUCGGGUGUGAAAUCUCGGAGCUUAACUCCGAAACUGCAUUCGAUACUGCCGUGCUUGAGGACUGGAGAGGAGACUGGAAUUUACGGUGUAGCGGUGAAAUGCGCAGAUAUCGGGAGGAACACCAGUGGCGAAGGCGGAACUCUGGGCCGGAACUGACGCUGAGGAGCGAAAGCGUGGGGAGCGAACAGG
rnacentral:rRNA from 1 species